CUUGUACUUCUUUAGAACAAAGAGCAAGAAUUAUCCUUUCCAACAAUAGAUGGUGGUUAUUUGCUAUAAUUACAUGGAUUUUAGCAAUGUGUGAGGCAGAGCAGACUGGGGAGGAGGGAAGCAUGACAUCCUGGGGUGGAUAGGAAAAACCUUCUAAACAUCAGAUUGUUGAGCAGCCGAGAGAUCUGGUCUCCAACAGUGGGAAGCUUUGAGUGACUCCCUGUUGUCCUGCAGCCCGCAGUCUGCUAACGCACAAGUUCCUAAUGAUUAUAAAGGCUGUGUAGCCAGGUUGCCUCCAAGCAAAAUGUCAGAAGCUGUUGGAAGAGAGGAAGGAGAGAAGAGCAUGGACAACUUAGGCUGCCAGGGCUGCAACAAGUGGAUGUCAAAUCUGCUCGGAGUUGGAAUAUGAAAUCAUACAGCAAGAACAGUAUAAUGGUCUGCUAGGUUAUUUUACGGGGUUCUGCACUUCAGAUAUUCCAGCUAGUUCUCUGUCUCCAGAGUAGAACUUUAGUGGUUUGCAGAAAAAGGUAGGAAAUACAGCAUGCUCCAUUAGGUUUGUGGAGAACAGCAAAAGCCUGUUAACCAGAUCAGGUCAACCCACUUCAAUGAGUGGGCUUUCUGAACAUUUCCACUGUGUGAUCUUAAUAUGAAAUCAACUGGUGAAAGAUUUCAUUUGUCAGAAGUACAUAGGCUGAUCUGAAAGUGAUGCCUUUUUUUUUUUUU
rnacentral:lncRNA from 1 species